rnacentral:rRNA from 1 species
GAUGAACGCUAGCGGCAGGCCUAAUACAUGCAAGUCGAACGGUGUCUUCGGACAUCGCGGCGCACGGGUGCGUAACACGUAUGCAACCUACCUUACAUUGGGGGAUAGCCUUUCGAAAGGGAGAUUAAUACCGCAUAAGACAGUAGCUGGGCCUCCAGCAGCUGUUAAAGAUUUAUCGAUGUAAGCUGGGCAUGCGUCCAAUUAGCUAGUUGGUGAGGUAACGGCUCACCAAGGCAAUGAUUGGUAGGGGAACUGAGAGGUCAAUCCCCAACCGUGGCACUGAGAUACGGGCCAUACGCGUGCGGGAGGCAGCAGUAGUGUAUAUUGGGCAAUGGACGCAAUUCUGACCCAUCCAUGCCGCGUGCAGGAUGAAGGCGUUAUGCGUUGUAAACUGCUUUUAUACAGGAAGAAACGACUCUUGCGAGAGGCAUUGGCGGUACUGUAUGAAUAAGCACCGGCUAACUCCGUGCCAGCCGCCGCCGUAACAC